AUGACAUUCACACCUUUUGUUGAUCCUGAUGAGCGCGCCGAGAAAAUUGCCGAGCUACACAUGGCAUGUUCUACCAGUUGUUCAAGGUCAAAGGGUGUGAGGAUCCCGGUAGGAUUCCGCAACCUUAAAGUGUUACAUGUGCUAGAAGUUGUGGAUGUCAAACGAACCAGCAGCAAGGCUACCAGGGAGCUAGGAGAGCUAACAAGGCUUGGUAAACUACGAGUGGUAACAAGUGGUGCCACUGAGAAAAAGUGCAAGAUACUCUGUGAGGCUAUUGAGAAGCUAUCUUCCCUGCGCUCUCUUUAUGUGGAAGCUGAUAAGCUUGAUUGGCUGCAUUCUGUUUCCUCUCCUCCCCCACUCAUGAGGAGCCUCAAAGUGGCUGGACAUCUUGGAGAGAUGCCAGAUUGGUUGGGAAGUUUGAUGCAUUUAGUGAAGAUUUACCUAGUGGGGAGCAAUCUGAAGGGAGUUAAAGCCAUGGAAUUACUAGGGACACUGCCCAACCUCAUGCUCCUUGGUCUUCGUCAGAAUGCUUAUGCUGGAGAGAAGCUUGUCUUCAGAGAGGGAGCAUUCCAGAAUCUCAGAAAACUUGAUUGUUCUCACAAUAGGGAAUUGAAGGAGGUGAGAUUUGAGGAGGGCACUUCGCCCCAAAUGGAAAAGAUGCAAUUCGGCCCUUGCAGGGUGGAAUCAGGGAUCCUUGGUGUGAAGCACCUUCCAAAACUCAAGGGAGGUGUGCUUGGUGUGCUGCAAGGUGAGAUGGACGCACACCCAAACCGUCCGGUGUUGCGACUAUCUGACCACCGGAGCUACCAUGAGCAGGGGGAUGUCGUUGACGUUGAAGAAUCCAAUACUGUACGAGAGAGCUCUGGGCAUGUGGUGGUCGUACCGAGGGGGAGCGACAGCAGCCAAGACGGUGACAAUGGGGACAUCGAAGGCUCCGCUGUGCUGGAAGACCAUUUCUGGUCCUGCCAUUUCAAUGGCAACGAUGCUUGA
rnacentral:rRNA from 1 species